rnacentral:lncRNA from 1 species
AAACUUAUUGUCUUGCAGUUCUGGGGCUAGAAGUCUGAGAUCAAGGUGUCAGCAGGGUUGGUUCCUUCUGACGCUGGGAGGAAGAAUCUGGUCCAGGCGUCUCUCCCAGCUUCUGGUGGUCUGCCGGCGAGCUUUGGCGUUCCUGGGCUUGUACAAGCAUCACCCCGUCUCUGCCUCCAUCUUCACAUGUUCUUCUCCUUCUGUGCAUCUGUGUCUUCACAUGGCCAUCUUACAAGAACCCCAGUCAUCCUGAAUUAGAGACCCACCUACUCCAGUGUGACCUCAUCCCAGCUAAAUACAUCUGCAAUGACUUCGCCUCCAAAUAAGGUCGCAUUCUGAGUGGCACUGUGACAAUGCCUGGCGCCUGCUCACGCAGGGAGUGAGUGCUCCGGGGAGCUUGGCUGGUGUGGACACUAUCUGGAGGAGCAUGUUCAGAGCUGUUGAAAGGCAGGUGGUUCUGAGGCACCCAGCUCCUUGGGCUCUGUCUGGGCCUAUGUCCUCAUAAAACCCAGGUGAGCCGAGAGCAAGGAGGUAGAAAGGUGAAGCAGGAGAAACGGACCUCAGCUGUGAUGAAGAGCCCAGCGGCCAGGCAAGAGCCUGCACCGGGCGUGUUUUGCAUUUGGGAAGCACCAGGACAAAAUCCCACACGUCUAUGUUGUUAAGUCUUUUCAUCAUGGAAGGCUUGGGCCACAGGUGUUGUCAUCAGGCUCUGGUUCCUUCUACCUUGAAAACGUUUUACCUGCUUGGCAGUGCCCAUGCAGAUGACUCAGCACUGAGCUGGGAGCAGAGCUUUGCCAAAGGUGCUGUGAGGCUAAUGAGCAGAAUCGAGCCAGGCCCGUGGGGGCACCUUCUCCACGGCAGGUGUACCUACAGAAUUCUGACCAUGUUGAGUUUACACAACACAACACAGUAGUUGUUAGAACAGCUCAAAGAAAAGGGAGGCCAGUGAAUGAUGGCUCAGGGAUGGAGCUGGGCCUGGAAACCAGCAGUAUCAGAGUCACCUCCCAAGCUGCUGGAAGGAACUGGCCUUUCUGGCUCACCUAACAAUUGGCUAGAGCUUUCUGCACCCCAUGGAUGAGCCCCGCUGGUUUGGGGGAUCUCUACGGUCCAGUCAGUGGUCCCAUCACGAAGCGCGCCCUCACGAUUCUUGGUGACGAGGCACUUUGCCUAUCAGGAAUGUUCCUGGCCGGUUAUCUCACCUUUGCCAU